rnacentral:tRNA from 1 species
GCUGGUGUGGCUCAGUGGAUAGAGCAUCAGCCUGUGGACUGAAGGGUCCCGGGUUCGAUUCCUGGUCAAGGGCA